GAUGAACGCUGGCGGCGUGCUUAACACAUGCAAGUCGAACGGAAAGGCCAGUGCUUGCACUGGUACUCGAGUGGCGAACGGGUGAGUAACACGUGGGUGAUCUGCCCUGCACUUCGGGAUAAGCCUUGGAAACUGGGUCUAAUACCGGAUAGGACAAUGGUUUGGAUGCCGUUGUGGAAAGUUUUUUCGGUGUGGGAUGAGCUCGCGGCCUAUCAGCUUGUUGGUGGGGUAAUGGCCUACCAAGGCGUCGACGGGUAGCCGGCCUGAGAGGGUGUACGGCCACAUUGGGACUGAGAUACGGCCCAGACUCCUACGGGAGGCAGCAGUGGGGAAUAUUGCACAAUGGGCGCGAGCCUGAUGCAGCGACGCCGCGUGGGGGAUGACGGCCUUCGGGUUGUAAACUCCUUUCGCUAGGGAAGAAGCGUAUUUGUGACGGUACCUGGAGAAGAAGCACCGGCUAACUACGUG
rnacentral:rRNA from 1 species